GGAAUACUGGUCAAUGGGCGAGAGCCUGAACCAGCCAAGUAGCGUGAAGGAAGACUGCCCUAUGGGUUGUAAACUUCUUUUGUUUGGGAAUAAAGUGCCGCACGCGUUGCGGUUUUGUAUGUACCUUACGAAUAAGCAUCGGCUAAUUCCGUGCCAGCAGCCGCGGUAAUACGGAAGAUGCGAGCGUUAUCCGGAUUUAUUGGGUUUAAAGGGAGCGUAGGCGGCCUUUUAAGUCAGCGGUUAAAUGUCAGUGCCCAACAUUGGCAUGCCGUUGAUACUGGUAGGCUUGAAUACACACUAGGGCGGUGGAAUUCGUCGUGUAGCGGUGAAAUGCUUAGAUAUGACGAAGAACUCCGAUUGCGAAGGCAGCCGCCUGGGGUGCGAUUGACGCUGAGGCUCGAAAGUGCGGGGAUCAAACA
rnacentral:rRNA from 1 species